rnacentral:hammerhead_ribozyme from 1 species
AUCCAGCUCACGAGUCCCAAAUAGGACGAAACAAGCGUCGAAACUGGAU